CAAGGUAUAGCUAAGUUUAGAAAAGCCUCUCCCUUACACCGAGAAGUCCUCCGUGCAAAUCGGAUUGCCCUGA
rnacentral:tRNA from 1 species